rnacentral:tRNA from 2 species
GUUAGCUCAGUUGGUAGAGCAUCUGACUUUUAAUCAGAGGGUCGCUGGUUCGAACCCAGCA